UUAUUCAAAAUGCAAACAUUUAUAUUAUCACUAGCUGACCCCCAAACGUCGUUUUGUCAUAUAUUUUAGUAACUCCCUCAAUCCCCCCCCUAUAACUUAGAGUAAUGAAAAAUAC